AGUUAGUGUGGUGUAGUGGUUUGAGUGCUGGACUAGGAUUCCAAGAGUCCAGAGUUCAAAUCUCUGCUCAUCUA